ensembl:lncRNA
GGGGGGGGGGGGCUCACCUGGGUUACCAACGUGGUCUCCUGUAGGUCAGCCCUCUGCCAAGACGGCCAUUGAAUGUGCCAUUUUUAAAUGGAGCACUGAUCAAACCCUACAUCCAACCACCCCUCACACCUAUUCUCUGUGUGUGUGUGUGUGUGUGUGUGUGUGUGUGUGUGUGUGUGUGUGUGUGUGUGUGUGUGUGUGUGUGUGUGUGUGUGUGUGUGUGUGUGUGUGUGUGGACUAAUGUGUUGCAUGCCUUAACUGACUAAACUCAGACGCGCACAAGGAGCAUGGAGAAGAGUUAUUCUGAGACGCAUGUAGUCGCACAUGUUCACACAUGUUCGUCCCAGAGGACAGGCGUGUCUACAACAGCCGCCAUAUGUGGUCAUGUGUGUUCAGUGGGAACGGGGCAUGAGGUGUGUUCAGUGGGAACGGGGCAUGAGGUGCACUAGACCCACAGAAAGCUGAAAGCUUUCACCUGCUAGUUGAUGCACAGGGUAGGCCUCCAUGUUGUGACCGGAAGCACACGUGAACACACUCACCUCUGGUGCAGGGGCUGGGAUAAUGGGGUCUUCCAACGCGACUGAAAGGACAUCUGCUGGCAACCCUGCCGGGCAUUUAACGGGCUUCCACUCUUCCUCUGCGAACAACUCUUCCUCUGCGACCGACACUUCCUCUACGACCGACACUUCCUCUGCGACAUGAACUGCUUCUGCUGCCUUCACCACUUCAGGUUCCGGAACCGGUUCUGGUUCAGCCUCGACUGGUUCUGGUACCACUUCUGGUUCCGACACCACUUCUGGUUCUGGCACCACUUCUGGUUCCGAUUCUUUGACUGCUUCUGGUUCCACGACUGCUUCUGGUUCCGCGACUGCUUCUGGUUCUUUGAGCAGUUCUUCCGGCUCUACUGGGGCGAGUUCUGGGAUUGUAGCGGGCUCUGGCUCUGGCUCAGGCGCAGGUGCUUCCACUGGGGAAACCUCUGAGACCUCUGGGACUUCUACUACAGGAGCCGCCUCAAUAGGAACCUCUGGGACAAGCUCUGGGACAAGCUCUGGGAGCGUAGGAGCGACGGUUGGGGGUUCAACUGGGGGGCAUGCAGACACCUCUGGAAUUUGGGGGACAAUAACUGGGGCGGGGGCUUUGGGCUGCUUUGGUUUGAAGGUAGCAACGGGGGGUUUGGGCGCCUUGACGGGUUUGGCAACAACGGGGACGGCGCCCGGGGCAGAGACUGCCCUGAGCGCAGGAGUUCCUUUAGCUGCGGCGGCAUACUGUUCCUCUAGUGCCCGCCUCUGCAACUGCUGCUCAGAGAAAGAGACACAGUAAGAGGCAGAGAGAGUGAGUGGUUAGCCUCCGUUGGGAACAUGUAGUUUUUUGCAGGGGAGGACAGUGAGGUCUGACUGUCUAAGCUGUGAGGAUAAGGGGCAG